ACUGUACCUAAAACAGGAAGCAACGAGACAUACAUUUUUUUUUACGAAGGCAGUCUGUGAAAACAACGUCAAAACCGUGGAAGAAAAAACUUGUCCACGAGAAGAGAAACUACACAUCAAAAUCACAGCCUCUUAUUGUGGAUGCAUUUGAUUCAAUCGAAACGGAGAAGGUCUCUGUUGACAAAAUGGGACAGCAUCUAGGAAAACGCGAGCCACAGCCGCAGAGCAAGCCUUCGUCACCAGAAGCAGAACAGACCAUAGAACCAGCACCCAUUGGUGAGAUCAUGGCAGAACCCGAAUCACAAGAUGAGGUCUUUGGCCUGGGUGAGGCAGAUGUGAACCCGAACAAUGGCUGCCCCUCUGAGAAGGCGUCGGCGGCGACUGACUCCACGGGCACUGAGGGGCCCAGCAGCUCCUGGAACGAGGCCAGCACAGCUGAUGCUGACGAUAGCGCCACGCCACGCCCCCACCUGGUCCGCCUCUUCUCCCGAGAUGCCCCGGGCCGUGAGGACAACACCUUCAAAGACCGCCCUUCUGAAUCGGAUGAGCUACAGACCAUCCAAGAGCACAGCGGAGCGGGAUCAGAGUGCGGUUCAGAGGAUCAGGAUCUAGACUAAGUUUGUUUCUUUGCCCUCCCUUUCUCGAUCUUUAAUACCCCCUUCGCUCUUACCUGAGAGACCGAACCCCACUUACAGAGAUACUAGCAGCAUUACCCAACCCUAACCACCGACAUGGCAACUGCAAGCUCCUCUGGACUGUCUAGCCUGGGAAGGAAAAAGAAGGCCCCUGGCCUUAUGGAUCAAAUUGGGAACUUCUUUGGAGGGGACAAGAAGAGGAAGAGCAAGGGUUCUUUCCGUGGCCUGUCCUCUCCUGUCAGACCUACCAAGGCAGCCCCUAAGGGUGGGGAGAACGCUGUUGUGCGCCUCUUCAGAACGAUCGUGUCCCCUGCCCCUCCUAAGUCUAGGUGGACGGCAAUGACUGCGAAACUAGGCCAGAAGUCAACAGGAUCCGCCAAGGCGAAGAAGGCCGGUGCAGGCGACAGCGGAACCCUGUCCAAGAUCUUCAAAAUGUGAUGAUAGCCACCAUUCAGGCGCAAGCCGGACUGGGUCCCUAACCAAAAAAUGAGGUCCCUUUCAAGAGCACAAAGGCAGACGUCAAGGAAAGGGACACGAGUGGGGGAAAACAAAGAAGAUAAAAGAACAGAUCUUUGUCGACUCACACACACACCUCUUCCCUGCUUUUCUAACCCGUUCAUUUUAUAACUCAAAUGCCUCCGCCACCGCACCCGGCUGGUAGACAUAGCGACACAAUCUGUGCCCCUGCUCCUCCCUCCCGCCUCUCCUGUGCAACCAUCUUGGAUGUGAACUGUUGCCGAAGUCAUCCGGACCCCCCUCUCACAGCCUAAAGGACCCCUGUCGUAGCUCUACAGUACCUGUGUCUUCAUUUCUAUUUCUCUGUCUGUCUGUCUGUCUGUAUAGAGUCGUCUAACAAGGCUGGCUAUCUGGACCAGACCUGGCUGAAGUAGCUUAGGUCCAAUUGACCUGGCCCUGACCGCCUGUGGUUGUGAAAGUGUGACCAGGUCUGGUUCUGGUUCAGAAACGAAUGAUUAUCUGUCUUGUCAUGCUCGUCUUUGUCGUUCCCCCCCCCCAAACCCCACACACUCUCCCAUUUCCUGUACAACCUGACAUGAAUUCAUAGCUAAGCAUCGUCUUACUAAGCUUGCAUGGGUUGUUGCGAUGGCCAGUUGGCCAUGUGUUUGUACGUCUUUACCGUCCCGUGGCAUCAGUGUGAAGUGUCCUGUCUUACGUGUUGCUGUCCUUCCAUGUUUUUACAUUAGGGUCUAUGGCUGGCUGUGAUCUUCCGUGGUAAAAUGACAUCGAGCUACUGAAAGUUAACCCACUAACAGUCUCGCCUGUAGUAUCCACUGAAUUGUAGAAAUCAAUGGAUGAUGUUAUAAUUUCUAAUAUUAUUCUCAUUAGAUUUUCAGUACAUGUAGAUUGAUUAGGACACUAAUGUGUAUGGGAUUGGGAGUUUCCCCAUCUAGAUAUAAUGGAGAUUUGUCUAAAAUGCACUGUUUUGACCUUUGAAAAGCAGACACGGACUGCUCUGAAACCAAGCUCACGCUGGACCUGCCACAACCAUGGCAUUUCCAAUGGCAGGACAGAUUCAAACCCUUUCCCCCCAUUAGGUGUGGUCUUCUCUGUCUUAAGUAUCUCUUGCUUCAUAUAUCUAUCGAAGCACUGCACAAAAUAUGAAUACAAAACAGCUAGCUAAGCAAUACCAUUUCUGACUGCCAGAAACGAUGUGCUGUGUUUACUCCAUGUGGAUAUUAAAACACCAACACUGUCAUAAAGGUGCUCCUUAUUUAACUGUGUAAAAGCAUAAAUGUUAUAAAAAAAAAAGAUACAGAGGGCGUGGAGUUUGUUGACCAAGGUACGAGCGAUGAGUUGCAUAAAACUGCUUAUUACUGCCACUGUACUGUCCAAUAUCCUCCCACCAGUCUUUCCUCCAUAAAUAAAAAAUUUGUGUAAUCUAUAGCAUUCUCUGCCUGUCUCCCCCUGUCACCCCUCCCCCAUGUCUUAAUGUGCGCGCGUGUUUUUGUAUGGGUCCUGUGAAUGAAUGUAGAAUGAAACUCUCGAGACCCUCAUUGUUGUAUCUAUCGGUAAUAAAAAGAUGUACGACCAGCCACUUAAUAACUUGGAAAAAAUAAAGGAAUUAAAAAUCAUUAAAUCGUUA